rnacentral:rRNA from 1 species
UGAAGGAAUUCGGCAAAUUUAUUUUCUGCCUGUUUAUUAAAAACAUGGCCUUUUGUUAAUAAUUUAAGGUCUGGCCUGCCCAAUGAUUAAUUAAAUGGCCGCGGUAUUUUGACCGUGCAAAGGUAGCAUAAUCAUUAGUUUUUUAAUUGAAAGCUGGUAUGAACGGUCGAACAAGAAAAUUACUGUCUUUGUUUUAAGGUUGUAGAAUUUUAUAUUUUAGUAAGAAAGCUAAAAUUAGUUUAAGGGACGAGAAGACCCUAUAGAAUUUUAUAAAUUUUGGGGGAUUAGGUUUUUAGAUUAAUUAUUUUAAUUUUAUAGGAUUUAUUUUGUUGGGGUGAUGGAAAAAUUUAUAUAACUUUUUUUUUGCUGUUUCACUAAUUUGUGUAUAUAUGAUCCACUUGUAGUGAUUAUAAGAUAAAAUUACCUUAGGGAUAACAGCGUAAUUGGUUUGGAGAGUUCUUAUUGAUAAACUAGUUUGCGACCUCGAUGUUGGAUUAAAAUUAAUUUUUGGUGUAGGGGCUGGAAAAUUAAGUCUGUUCGACUUUUAAAAUUUUACAUGAUCUGAGUUUAAACCGGCGUGAGCCAGGUUGGUUUCUAUCUUU